CUCUCUCCCUCUCUGCCCCUCCCCUGCUCUCUAAAGAAAAAGAAGAAAAUCAGUAGUCUCCCCUUAUCCAGGGUUACUGUGAUCUGCUGGGUAACCUCGUUCCUGAAGCAGAGGCUCCUCCUCACGCGGCAGCAUCAGAAUGUCAGCAGCCGGCGGGUGCUUUGUCACAGCGCUGAUGUCAUAAUGCUGACAUCAUAACACUAAGGUCACAACGCUGACAUCACUCCCCCUCAGCGCCUCAGAUGUGUGCAUCGUGCCAACAAAUCCCCUCUCACUGCAACAGAUGUCAGUCAUUCUCUUUGGUUCACUUUCGCUUCCUGUCACCUGCGCAGGACCUGCUGAAGAGAAAUCACCUUGCGUUAUGUCAAAGUGACAUGUUUGUUGAACUGUAACGAUAAUAAUCCUGCCCAUUAGCCUACCAGGAGCCAGAGGCAUUUUGUACUCAAGCAAUGAUGAAUUUUUAUUUUCUCACUUAAUUAAAAAAAAAAAA